rnacentral:misc_RNA from 1 species
AAAGGUGCAUGAGUGGUGUUUGGUUUGUUACGGGUGGUUGGCUCUUUGCUUGCGCAACAACUUCCACCUGGCAUUCCUCUUCAGUCUUGUGUCAAUGCUUGUAUUGCAUUGAAUGCACGGUGGGUUUCUUGUGUUGCAUGCCUAAUUGAUGGUAUCAUUUGAUGAAUUUAUGUCCAUUUUCGUCUUGUGUUGCACAUGCGAUGCGAGAUGAACCUUGCUGCAACGUUUGUGAUCCACUCUUUUGAUGCACACGCAUUGAUUUUGUGGCUCAUUGAGUGUUGCUUGGGCUCACGGAUAUGGAACCUUGUGUGGGCAUGGGAUCUUUUAUUAGUUCCUUGUUUGCCCUAGUUAAGCUUUUCAAAUACGAUUUCCUAUCAUGUCUUAACAUGGUAGGCUAUAUCGAUUAUGAAUGCUACCUGG